ACGUUGAUAGGCCGGGUGUGUAAGCGCAGCGAUGCGUUGAGCUAACCGGUACUAAUGAACCGUGAGGCUUAACCUUAC
rnacentral:rRNA from 1 species